GGCUGUGUAGUCUAGCGGUUAUGAUGCUUCCUUUACACGGAAGAGGUCGCAGGUUCGAUCCCUGCCACGGUCA
rnacentral:tRNA from 1 species